UCCCCGCCCCCCGGGACGCGCUCGCUUGCAGCCUUUUAGGACCCUGCGCCCCGGUGCCCGGCUGGCCGCCGCCGUCGCUCGGGGUUCCAGGCACCCUGGUCCGGGAAGCACUCGAAGGAAGCCCAGGGCCAUGUCCGUCGUGGGAAGACACGAGGAAAAUAGCGCCUGGAACACACGGACCCAAGUGGUCCCAGCCCCUGUCGGGAGGCAAUUCUGCCGAAACUCGGGGGGCACUGGUCCAGGACCGGGCCCAGGGUGACAGGGGCCUGUCCCAGGCACGGAGCAGCUGGACUCGAGCCUGGCAGGCGUAGAGGCCGCUGGCAGAGCCGCGCCUUCGCAGGCCUGAGAGUACUGUCCCCGUCGGCGCGCUCGCUGGAGUAACGGUGGCACUGGCUGUUGCCCGGGGCGUCUCCGGAGCACGUAUUGGGAGAGUGCCCUGAAUUCCUGGGGCAGCCCCAAGGACAGAAAUCCAGCCCUUAGCUGCGUCCUACUUGGGGUAAGGACGACUAGACUUCAGGGGCUCCGGGCUCGUGGCGGCUCCAGCCCCUUUCAUUUGUGGGCCCCCGCACUCAGCCACUUCCGUGAGGACGCUCGCAGAAGCCGCUUCGGGGAGGAAUCAAGGGAAGGCCUGGGUCUUACGGCGCCAGGUUCACAUUGGGAAAGUAUUUUGAAGACAUAGAAGGUGACCAGAAAGACUAGAAAAGAUUUUUGGCUGCCAAGGGGCAAAAAGAAAUGACCAUUCAGGUUUUUGCCAAAAACAUCCUGAGCUUCGGCAUUGUGCUGAUCAAUUGCCUUCUUACGAUCCAGUUUUGAAUGGAGACCAGAUACAUCUUUUGUAGUU